UUUCUUUGUGGACGCAUGUUUUUCUUCUUUGUUUUCCUUACUGUUGCAGUAAGUUGCCAACGUAAUUGAGCUAUGCUUGUUUGAGAGGGUUUUUAGUUAUACCGUUAAUACUUAAAACGGUGCAGAAUUUUUCUGUGAUUGGUAUAAACCUUGUUUGGUUCAUUUUGUGGCUUCAUGAAUGGACUAUUCUUUUGUUGUCCAUUCUCUGAGUUCAAUAAAAUUGGCUGAAAAGAACGUUUUUUCUUUUCAAAACACAUCAGCUCUGUCAUGGAGCGACAUGAAAAGGGGCUUCAAAAUUGCUAAUAGAUACUGUCUCUGGUAUCCUUAGUCUCUGGAUGUCAGAAAUUAUCUAGUUCUGUCACUGUGGAGCUUGAAACAACAUUUUGAGCUUCUGCUACUCAGUUUUGUCGCCUUCAGCUAAUGCAGUUACAUCAUGGGUGGAAUCAGCUCUUACAAUGUCGGCAUCAGUUAGUUUUCUUGGACUCAGACUCGGACUUGUUCUCCGCACAGCUAGUCGUUUAUUUAUUAGACAGCUCAGUUUGUCCAAUGAAUAAAUGUAUCCUGUUAAAAUUACUAGAUGUGACAGAGAAUUUCACA